rnacentral:rRNA from 1 species
GAGCCUGAUGCAGCGACGCCGCGUGAGGGAUGACGGCCUUCGGGUUGUAAACCUCUUUCACCAGGGACGAAGCGCAAGUGACGGUACCUGGAGAAGAAGCACCGGCCAACUACGUGCCAGCAGCCGCGGUAAU